AUUGAACGCUGGCGGCAUGCCUUACACAUGCAAGUCGAACGGCAGCACGGGAGCAAUCCUGGUGGCGAGUGGCGAACGGGUGAGUAAAGUAUCGGAACGUGCCCAGUCGUGGGGGAUAACGUAGCGAAAGUUACGCUAAUACCGCAUACGAUCUAUGGAAGAAAGCGGGGGAUCGCAAGACCUUGCGCGAUUGGAGCGGCCGAUAUCAGAUGAGGUAGUCGGUGGGGUAAAGGCUCACCAAGCCGACGAUCUGUAGCUGGUCUGAGAGGACGACCAGCCACACAGGGACUGAGACACGGCCCAGACUCCUACGGGAGGCAGCAGUGGGGAAUUUUGGACAAUGGGCGAAAGCCUGAUCCAGCCAUGCCGCGUGCAGGAUGAAGGCCUUCGGGUUGUAAACUGCUUUUGUACGGAACGAAAAGGUUUGGGCUAAUAAGCUGAGCUCAUGACGGUACCGUAAGAAUAAGCACCGGCUAACUACGUGCCAGCCGCCGCAGUAA
rnacentral:rRNA from 1 species